rnacentral:pre_miRNA from 1 species
GAUGUACUCCCUCCGUCCGGAAUUACUUGUCAUCAAAAUGGAUGAAAAUGGAUGUAUCUAGAACUAAAGUACAUCUAGAUACAUCCAUUUCAAUGACAAGUAUUUCCGGACGGAGGGAGUAUAUG